AAUACUCAAAGCGUGGAGUGGACAAGUGAAUUCUACCCCUUUGGGUCAACCAUCUCCCUGACCUCAGCGGUUUAAAAACCACCACAUAGAAACAAGCUGCGCACAGAAACGAGGUUGUGCCAGAAAGGAGCGGGAAGACUCCGGAGAAGAGAUCCGGUAUAGUUUAGCAGCUCUGGCUGAGCCAGAGUAGACUCGCGCCCUGGCGCAGUACCCUCUCCCAGGUCACCAGGAGUGGAAUGAAAACCGCCUUUUCGCUCCAGAAAAGUGACCCCAAGAGUCGUCCCUCGCUGCAAGGUUGGCAGGGAUCUGACUUAGCUUUCCUAAAAAAAAAUUAAAACGGUAUUGAAAGGCCCACAGAGGACCCAGCACACAGGAGCCCAGACAAACAGCUCUGGCGCUCCCUUCUUCGCUUUUGGAUCCUGCCUAUGAGAGAGAAAAAAGAAGCCCAAGGGAUCCGGGCAUGUCUGUGCACCUUGUACAUGCCUGAUAUCUACAGAGGCCAGAGGAAGAUUGCAGAUCUUACAGAGCUAGAGUUACAGAUAGUUGUGAACCACCAUGUCUGUUGGUGAGAUCUGAAGCACCACUAAUGUACACAUAACCUAAGAAGACCAUCAAGGGGAGGCGGCGCCAUCUUCGGCUCCAGACAACCGGCCACCUUCCUGGCGAGAGCCACAGAGCUUCUGAGGCAGCGCCAUCUUCAGCUCCAGACAACCGGCCACCUUCCUGGCGAGAGCCACAGAGCUUCUGAGGUGGCGCCAUCUUCGGCUCCAGAAAACCGACCACCUUCCUGUAUAUGUCCUACAGUGUUGAACAAAACACAAGAAGAAGAUAUUUGGGGCCAUGAAUAACUCAAGGACCCAGCCAGAUCUCAACAGUGGCACCUGCCCAACCUGCCAUUGUGCAAGUUUCUGCCACAUACUUUGAGAAGACACCUUCAAAGCUUAACAGGAGACCCUUUCAUCCUUGUAUGUAUAAUAAGAAAAUAUAUUAUGGUAUAGUGCUUCAUCUCUGAUUUGGGGUUUCACUGUGGAUGCUAACUCAAUAAUCAUGAAUUUAAAAUGCUGUCACAGAGAGUCCUGGCUGAAGGGAGGGUCACAGAGAGUCCUGGCUGAAGUUGGAGUUACAGAGAAUCCUGGCUGAAGGGACAAAGCUCAGAGAAUACAUUUAACAUCCCCUAGGUACCCAAUAUAUCCAUGAAUUUGUAUGUGACACAAAAACCUAGACAGGGAUAGGCACAUAUUUUCUUUCUUGCCUCUUCAACAACAACCCUAAAGUAAUUGGACCAAAGUGUGACCUUGCUUUGAUUGCUUUCUCAUUUGGGGUUCAUAUCUGAGCUCUCAAGCUUUCUAAUUUACGUAAUUGGAAUGAACUUAUGGGGCAAGUAUUUUAUGAAAGUACUCUGCGUAAGAUCUUAAAUUAUUGGAAAUAAUUUACCUCAUGAAAGAUAAUAUUUCUAGUAAUGUACAAAACCUAGAAAAAUUCUAAAAAUCACCAAAGAGAUACAAAACAAAGUAAGACUACUCAAAAAGUGAGGGUGUCUACUUGCUGUUGAAGGUAUUUUAUCUGUAUUAAUGUCUGCCACAUAGUAAAACACAUGGCUAUGUAUGAAAGGUAUGUUUCUUAACUAUUGCCUUGUAGAAAUUAUCAUUGUGUUGGAGGCAUAAACACGUCUGUGCUAGUUAACUCACAGCGUGUGUCAUGAGCUUAGGUGUGGUGUACUUGUGUUCUCUCAUUGAGGGUCUUUCAAAAGGUUGUGGAUGGUAUUGACUACUAAUACAGUUAUAGGCGUCAAUCUAAAUGACUGAAAAGUGAAGGAUCUGCUUUCCAGACACUCAUGUUUAUUGGUAGAAUUUCAUCUUUUCAAUGAAAAUUUUCAUUUUUUGCACUGACAGUUUUCUUGAGUCCAUUUCAUUUUCUUGUCUCAUAAACCUCCAAGAAAACCAUUAGAGGUGCUAAAGGGGAAGACAGAAAGGGCCAAAAUGGCAAGACAGAAUCAUAAAUAAUAGAGAAGUUGCACUCACUCAACUCCAAAAUAUUCUGGUUAGAAGCCAGUUGUGUAAAGAAUGGUUUUACUUUAUUUCAUUAAUAUCAGGAGGGAACAUCAUAGAGACUAUCUAACAAGGUCUGUGCUCAGACCCCCAGAUAGUCUUCUGAGUGCACAAAAACACCCUGUUCCUUGAGAAUACAAGAUAAUUUUACAAUUUAAUCUAAAUCCAAGAUCUUGCCUUCAAGGUAGGCUCAAGUGGGGAUGAGUUCACUUGAUGGAGGAAGUUAGCUGGGACACAUCUCUGUAUCUAUAGACCUGGGACACGAGGGAAACAAGUGUUCUCUACCAAGCCAGUGUGCCACAGGAUAAUGACAUUACAGUUUCCAGAAUGUGGAGAAGGUUGGUGAGACAGCAACCAUAAUAAUUUUGAAACUGAGCUAAGCAAAUAUUGAAUGGUCCUUGAUUCUGUUUCCAGGACAGGGCACGGCUUUGGUGGUCCUGGCUUUAGCCUCUAGGUGCUUUUGUUGACCUUAUUUCUCCACAAUAUUCUCAGUUUGUGUUAUGCAAGGAGAAACCUACCUGAGAACUAGAUCUUGUGUACUCCUGUUCUGACUAGUUUUUCUUUCAACCUAUUUUACCAAUACUUUAGUGCUGUAAUUUCCUUGCAGAUUUGAAAAGACUUACUCCAUGGAUCUGGAGAAGCCUUUCUACUUUGGGUUCUGCUGACAAGGUUUAGGGACUAUGCCAUACAGCUCUCACCAUGACUUGUGCUUCACUGAAGGGUUCCUUCAGCAUACCCUGAGUUGCUUGAAAUGAUGGGAUUUGCAGCAGAAUAUUCAAAUGCCUUAUCUGCCUGAGCUUUUUCAGAAAUUUGUGUACGUCUAUCUACACUCACUCUGUUAUCACUAACGAAGGCCCUAUAACCCAUUUUUUUUUCCUGGUCACUCCUAGAAAGUACUUUUAAAUUUUUUCUUUGCCUAAACAAAGAGGCUUAGUUAGCUCAUGAUGAUCAUUCCCUGUAGUUUUUUUUUUUAAACUAAUCAAUCCCCCAGUUUAUUGUCUCUUGCAUAUAAGAGGCGAGAAGAAACCAGGGACACCCUUAGCAGUUUGCUUGAAUAGUUUAUUGGGUAAUUUUUCAUGAUUAGUGUUAUUGACAUGUAAAUUUUCCUCAGCUUUGUGCCACUUGAGAAGACUCUGUCCCCCUGAUUUUGGAGAAUAUUCUUAUUCCUUUUGAGACUUCAUUACCAGUAUUUUCUAAGUUCAGACUGCUAUCCAGAUCCUUAUGGAGGUGACUUACACAUUUUGUAUUAUUAUAUUUCACAUCUUUCUAGCCUCUGACUGUACAUGCUCUGGUGACACUUCCAUACUUUCUGAAACUGUUCAAAAGUAUUCUUCUAGGCAGCAAAAUGUAUGUUAUUCAUCUAUUGCUGUGUAACAAGUACCAUCUAACAAGUAGGAUAUGACCAUAUACAUUUAUUUACUUUGUUACAGUUUGUCUCAGUCUCAUACCCAGUGACUUAAGGGCCCUCUGUUUCUAGGACUUGCUCAAUGAUAUAUCUAGGUGCUUCAAGGGUUCUGAACACUUAAUUGAAAAAAAAAAUUCUAUACCAAGCUCAAAAUGCCCACUAUUGGACUAAAUACUUGUGGCCCUGCCUGGGCCUUGAUCACAAGCAUACCUCAGUGCUUUGUUAUAUGAAUCUCUUCAAUAUGGCCCCUUAUCAUGUGAAUCCAUGAGGUCAGAACAGUAAAAGUACGUGUUAGUGAAUGGAAACAACAGUCCCAUUAAACUUAAUCAUUUAAGAGAUAUAAUUUUUAUAUUCCAUUUAUAUUCCAAUGGGUAUGAAUUAUAUCAGAAAGUAAACAAUUAUCACCUAUCCCCCAAAUAAGCCUUCCUAGUAAGGUUGAGAGAGGCAGUAAUCUAUAGUUAUAGAAAUAAGAACUUAGGGUGCAAUUUAAUACUAUAUACAUUAAUAGGAUAUUACCAGAUGCUCCUUUAGGUCUGAGAUUUAACUAUCCAUAGAUUUUUGGCCUAACUAAUGGAACCAUAUUUGAGGUCUGUCUUGUGGAGUAGUCUUGAAAUCUAUCCAAAAAGUGCUUGGUCACCCCCAUAACAUUUGUACCACCAAUAUAUUACUGCAUAUCCUUUCCUAGUCAGUCAUUAUUAUAGCUCACAGGGUUGACAUAUGGGUGUGUUGAUGACUUUUCUCCCCCAAGUAGCAUGUUGUAGUAACAUUCUUUGUGAAUUCUAGAAUUUUGGUUUCUUUAAAACAAACAAACAAACAAACAAACAAACAAACACAGGAAUAUAAGAACAUGCUGUUAUUUUAAUCUCAGCUAUAGGGAUGUGGGGCAGCUUUGGACUAUCUGCAGCAGCUGACUAUGAUUUGCCCCAUGCUCUAGCAGAAGUGUGGUUUUUCCAGCAACAGAUAGCUUCUGUAAUUGUGUGAUAUUUGGACUUCUUGAAACUUUUCAGAGGUGUAUAAAUGCUAGAACCCUGAUAGGUGUAAUGGUUGUUGAUAUUUUAGGGAGAUUGGUUGUGGUUUGUUAGUAGCCAUGACCAGAGAAGAAGCAAAAGGAAAGAAUUUAGAUUCAGGUUUCCUAAUUCCUCUUCCCUCUCUAUUUUUCUCAUAUCUAGUAUUAAGGGGUGAAACAGCAGGGAUAAAGGGGGAAACUAAAAAGAACCCACAAAAUAGCAAAGACCAGCUACAGCAUGUAUUAAACCUAUCAUUAUGAUAGGUAGACAGUAGAGAUGAAUCUUCUAGAUCAGUAUCAUCUUCAUUUCUCCAUGUCCUAUCAUCAAGUAUGAGAUGUUUUAAGUAACUAAUGCCGAUGGAAAUGGCCUGUAAUUUGGGGGCUGUUUACUGACCUCAUUGACCAACAACUC
ensembl:antisense